AUUGAACGCUGGCGGCAGGCCUAACACAUGCAAGUCGAACGAGUGGCGGACGGGUGAGUAAUGUCUGGGAAACUGCCUGAUGGAGGGGGAUAACUACUGGAAACGGUAGCUAAUACCGCAUACAAUCAGAUGUGACAAGAUGGGAUUAGAUUGUAGGUGGGGUAACGGCUCACCAAGGAGACGAUCCCUAGCUGGUCUGAGAGGAUGACCACUCACACUUGAACGUCGACACGGCCCGUACUCCUACGGGAGGCCGCAGUGGGGAAUAUUGCACAAUGGGCGCAAGCCUGAUGCAGCCAUGCCGCGUGUAUGAAGAAGGCCUUCGGGUUGUAAAGUACUUUCAGCGGGGAGGCGUUACCCGCAGAAGAAGCACCGGCUAACUCCGUGCCAGCAGCCGCGGUAAUAC
rnacentral:rRNA from 1 species